rnacentral:tRNA from 1 species
CAGGGAGACAAUAAAAUGAUUGUGAUGUCUAAGUUAUUUAUUCUUAGGCCGCAAUCCUGUCACCUUAAGGUCGAUCGGUACCUCAGAUUUUUGAAUUAAUUUUAUAAUUGAUUCUUUGAUUUCAGUUCCUAAACUUGUCUAGGUCACACCCAACAAAGUUUUCUCCUGGGCCAUUAGCUCAGGUGGUUAGAGCGCACCCCUGAUAAGGGUGAGGUCCCUGGUUCAAGUCCAGGAUGGCCCAUUCGUUGUUGGGGGUAUAGCUCAGUUGGUAGAGCGCCUGCUUUGCAAGCAGGAUGUCAGCGGUUCGAGUCCGCUUACCUCCACUGAAAACUAUCCUGAUAACUAAAUUCUGGAGAAAAAUUGUAGAUGUGGCUUAGAAUUGUCUAUUUGAAGAGAACCUAGCUUCUUGUCAUCUUUUUAUAGUUGAUAAAAUGCUGGGCUCGCAUGGAUUAUUUCCAUGAGAAUUCAGUAGAACCUUGAAAACUGCAUAGAUUAGAAAGAAUAAAGCAUCUCAUGGAUGCAUAAUUCUGUUUAAAUAAUUUAGCCUUAAAACUAAAUUAUUUAAUCUUAGAAUUCAUGUUUAAUUCUUGAGUAAAAGCCGAGCACAAUUGAUUUUGUGAUUGUAUUUAA